AUGAAGCCUGUGGCAAAGAAACAAUUCUCUUUCUACUGACUAAUAAAUCAAAGGCUUAAUAAAGUGGGAUCUCGCACUUGUGAAUCCUGUUGAGUCACUCUAUCUGGUUCUGUUGCUGUAGUAGGCACAGAGAUUAGAUAUUCAUUGAGGAGUAAAUAUCUAAAAAUCUAUAGACUAGCUUUUCAGCAGAAAUGGAGGCUGCAGUGAAACUAGACUUUUUCCAAGUGCUUGCUGUUCCUGUUUUCAAGUUAGGAAGGUAGAUUUUUUUUUUUUUUUAACUGAAUUACUGACCUGUUAGCUCCUGGCCAUCUUCAUCUCAUAAAUAGUGUGUUGAUGGCUUUACUGUAGUAUUUUGGGUACUACUGACUCUUUGCCCCAGGUGUUGCACUGAUCAUUUACUACUUAGCAUUUCUAUCAUCCUGUACCAAGAGACUAACAAAUGGUAGUUAAAUCAUGGUGUCCAAAAUAAACAGUGAGGCGGGAAGAUGUCUUCAGCUAGCAUCUGCCUCUACAAGCUAUAGUUUAAAUACCGCUGCUGCUGCUGUAUGUUACCUAGUUUGCUGGCUAUGAUGUGCAUACAAUUAUCUCCCGAAGUGUCCCGCUUCAGAGUGCAGUCUAAUUUCCUAUUUGUCCAUAACUGCAUCAGCUCAAUUCAUAGCAUAUUAAAAAAACAAAUAAAA